rnacentral:rRNA from 1 species
AGGAUAAACGCUGGCGGCGUGCCUAACACAUGCAAGUCAAACGUCCUACGCAAGUAGGGAGUGGCGGACGGGUGAGUAACACGUGGGCAAUCUACCUUUCGGUGAGGAAUACCGGCGAGAAAUCGCCGACAAGACCGCAUACGCUCGGGCAACCGAGCAAAGUCGCAAGACGCCGGAGGAGGAGCCUGCGCCCGAUUAGCUAGUUGGUGAGGUAAGAGCUUACCAAGGCGACGAUCGGUAGCUGGUCUGAGAGGAUGAUCAGCCACACUGGGAUUGAGAACGGCCCAGACUCCUACGGGGGGCAGCAGUGAGGAAUUUUCGUCAAUGGGGGCAACCCUGAACGAGCAACGCCGCGUGCAGGAUGACGCUUUUCGGAGUGUAAACUGCUUUUCUCGGGGAAGAGCAAGGACGGUACCCGAGGAAUCAGCCCCGGCUAACUACGUGCCAGCAGCCGC